GGGUCUGUAUGGUAUCAGCUUGUUGGUGAGGUAAUGGCUCACCAAGGCUAUGACGCCUAACUGGUUUGAGAGGAUGAUCAGUCACACUGGAACUGAGACACGGUCCAGACUCCUACGGGAGGCAGCAGUGGGGAAUAUUGCACAAUGGACGAAAGUCUGAUGCAGCAACGCCGCGUGGAGGAUGACACAUUUCGGUGCGUAAACUCCUUUUAUAUAGGAAGAUAAUGACGGUACUAUAUGAAUAAGCACCGGCUAACUCCGUG
rnacentral:rRNA from 1 species